rnacentral:rRNA from 1 species
AGACCUAGUGGCGAACGGGUGCGUAACACGUGAGAAACCUGCCCCGAUCUCUGGGAUAACAGUCGGAAACGACUGCUAAUACCGGAUGCCAACGGACCGCCGCAUGACGGACCGUUGAAAGGUUUACCGGAUCGGGAGGGUCUCGCGGCCUAUCAGCUUGUUGGUGAGGUAACGGCUCACCAAGGCAUCGACGGGUAGCUGGUCUGAGAGGAUGAUCAGCCACACUGGGACUGAGACACGGCCCAGACUCC